rnacentral:misc_RNA from 1 species
GAAAGUAAUUCUCUUUUCUUUUUCAUAAUUAAAGAAGAAAACAAUACAAGAGAAUUCUGAAUUCUCUCUCUAUGUAUUUGAGACUUUGACAGAUGAAGUCUUCUUCUCCUUCUCCAUCUCCUUCUUCUCUUUUUCUAUAUAGCAAAAAGAACAGAUGCCUCAGCAUGGGGAGGCUGGUUCCUUUCUUCUUGUCUUCUCUGGGUUUAACAACUAUUUUCUGCUUGUUCAUUCUUUAUUCGCCAAACCCUUUUAGGUCAAUUCUUAAACAUAAUGACCCAAAUCAAAAGCUCCUCGUGAUCAAGCCAGAAAAGGAGAAGGAGAAUUGCGACUUGUAUAAGGGUGAGUGGAUACCAGACCUUGAAGGGUCUAAAUAUACAAAUUCAAGCUGUGCAACAAUUCCCAAUUCAAAGAACUGUUUCAGGAAUGGAAGGAAAGAUACAGAUUUCCUUAAUUGGAGAUGGAAACCAGAGAAAUGUGAUGUUCCAAGGAUUGAUCCCAAGGCCUUCUUGGAAAUUGUUCGAGGAAAAACACUGGCAUUCAUCGGUGACUCAGUUGCCAGGAACCACAUGGAA